UUAUUUGGCCUGAGUAGCUAUCUGUAAAGUGGACUAGUCUGCUUCUGUUAUCCAAAGAAAAAUACAGGAGUUAGUGGUACUACUUCAAGGUUAACUUAGCAGUAAUUAUUGAAGAUAAAUGUUAAGACAGACAGGCAGCAAACAAUUCUCUGAAUCUAGGCUGACACUCAAAACCUUUAAUGUCAUUUGAAAGUAACUCUAACAUUUUUAUGUAGCAAAUAUUUUAGAUGAUUACACUGACAAAACAUGGUCUACUGCUUACGAUAAACCUAUCAGCAUUAACUAUACAGACAAAAUGUUCUCUGCAGGUGGAAAUUAUACGGGUAUUAGGAAUCAAAGUCAAUCAAAACUUCAUAACUGACUAGAUCUUAGGUUAAAAGCAAAGGUUAGCUACCCAAAGCACUGUACCUUGAAAAGCAGUGCUGGCAAUGGAAGGUAAUAUAGCUGAACGAAUUUGGCUCAGACGUGUAUACACUAAGGGGAAUACUACGUGUAAAUACAUGAGAUUAAUGAGAAAAAAAAAGAUCAUAUGUAUUUAUAUCCAAUUUUUAAAGAAAUCAUAUGCCGUACUGCUGCAAUUAUUUGUGGGGAACAUCUACUUUCCAUUUAAAAAAAAAAAUACGGUAUCAUGUACUUUUUAACUGAAGAAUUCAUUGUAGUAGUGAAUAUGAUGAAGUUCAAACAUUAUUCAAUGAGGACAAGCAUUUACUUAUAGCUUAUCAAGCACUUCAUGUCACACUAGUCCUCAUAAACCUGAUUCAUAUAAGACAUCUUUUGAAGCAUUUCUGAUUACAUCUGCCUUUAGUUCAACAAUCUUUUGCAAUCUUUUAUCUACUACAGCUCUAUCAGGGACUAUCACUCAUGUGCUGCUUCAGCUCAUUCUCCUCUUUCCUUCUUUUCAUUCUAGAAUACUAAUGACUUCAAAGUACUAUGACAUCCCAACUACAUCAUGCCCCAACCACCUCUCCAGCAGGGUACUGGUGGCAAGAAUAAAUCACCAAGUCUCAUUCAAGAUACUGUUAACACAAAGGUCUUGGUGCUCAGUGUAAGCAUAUUAACAGUUUUGGGGACUGUGUUUCAGAGAAGUCAGGUAGAGUUAAGUCCCCAUCAGGUUUUAGCACAGCUUUCUGGGGGUCAAUUUACAUUAUUGCACAAGACAGGGAACAAGAUAGAACUGACCAAAGCAGCUCCAGGGUUAUGUUAUUUCAACACAAUGUCAAAACCUAUUAGUUGUUAUUUCACAGAGACUUAAAGAGGUGGCUCAGCUGUGAAAAAGAACCAAGACUGAACUCACCUUCCCUGGACGACGAGCCAGCAUGUAGAAGGACCGGCUGAAGGCUUGAGGAAGAUUUAACGAUGUCACAAUGAAUGUUCUGUAUUUCUGUGGCCCAAUAGAGCAGUUUUUUCUCCUGUAUAUAGUUCCACAGAUUUCAGAAAGAAACUAAGAAGCAUUGAAGAAAAAAUAGAGGAAGCUGCAGUACAAUCCAGUAAUAACAAACUAUCAACUGCAUGUGAGGAUGCGAUCCAUCCAAUGUAGCAAAGGGCAGAACACCUGCUGCCAUUGCUCCAGAUAUUCCAUGCCACCAGCAAUUUUCAGGUUUUAGGUUCCUACACAGAAGCACUACUAUCAGCUAAUUGGUAAAGAUGGCAAAGAUGUGCUCUUCGUGCCUAUUUCUCUACUUGCAAAAGUUCUAAUUUUCAAAAGAAGGUAUUUAAUGCUCUCUGAGAAAUAAGGCAUCAUGCAUCAUACCAGGCACCUAUGGAGACAGCCAACCCAAAUCAAUAGCUAGGAUCUUAGCAGGAGGUUAAGAACCCACACAGCACAGCAUGAAGACAAGACAAGCUUCAUUUCUGAUAUAUAUACACAAUGCACUGAAGAAAGCCUACCGGCAUUGAAUCUUUUAGGAUCAGUGUAAUUUGCCUAUUCAACUAUUUUGGUAUUGUAAGAUAGUCUUGUGUGCCAAAGCAUAUAGACAACAAUUAGCCAAUAAUUUUCCAUCUCUAACUACUGAUAGAAACUUGAAGGUACAAUCUUCAGUAUUAGUAAGAGAAUAAUAUUAUUCUCGUGCAGCCCCUUAUGAUUUG